AGGCAUAGACAUAAAACGUCACCAAGAAUAUAUUUCAAACUUAAUCAUUCACCUUGCAUCAAUACAUUGUUGAUUGUUGCAGAGUAUGGCGUGGGAAGUGUGGUAUCUACAGAAGGAGAUGUGUAUAGCUUCAGAGUCCUCAUUUUGGAGAUGUUCACAGGCAAGAGGCCGAUUGAUGACAUGUUUGAAGAUGGGUUGGACCUUCAUUGCUUCACAAAGGCAGCUUUGGUAGACCGAGUGGAGAAGGCAAUUGAUCCCAUUUUGCUUCAAGAAAUUGAGGAGUUGGAGAAGAGACGAACAAUUGCUCCAAAGGGCAAGAACAAGAGCUGGUGUAGUAUCAAGGAUUGUUUGGUUUUGAUCAUCGAAGUAGGAAUCACUUGCUCUUUUGAGUCUUCGAAGGAGCGAAUGGACAUCUAUGAUGCAUUGACUAAACUCCAAGGAAUGAGGAAGAAACUUCUUGAGUUCAUUGUCACUAUCUAGUUGAUGUCAAGUUUGAACUUCAUAUGGAGUCAUGUGGUCUUCAUGGUCCUUGCUUUUUGGUUUUUCUUCCUUUGUAAUUCAACCAUUCUCUAGAUAUUACGUUUUAUCUUUCAACAAUCUGGUCUUCAUGGUGGGUAUGCACUACUUGUACCUAUAAUUUUAGUAAAUGUUAAUUUUGUUGCGUCAUGCGAACCAACAAGCUAGGUUACUAAAACCCAAUACUUCAUUCUUUCUUUGGUUCUUGUUUGUGUGUGUGGCUGCUAUUAAUGGUGCCUUUGGCUUUGCAUGCACAAAAGUGGUACACCCUUAGUUGUUCGAUGGGCUUCCACCUAAAGUAUCCUUUGGUCAAAGAAGCUCUAUAAAAAGCUGCUCCAUUGACUCCUGAUAAUACUGUCAGUGUAAAACAAAGUAUCCAGGCAUGGGAGCCCCUCUGCAAGUUUCUUCUAUUGUGAUGAGGAUUCUUUCGCAGCCAUGGAAGAAACCAAUUCUUUGCUGUUAAUCAUUGUGUAGCGCAUAUUGAAAUGGGCAGGAUAGUGACUGGCUCUAAUGAUCCCGUUGUGUUGUAGGCAAGUGGUGGAAACACAUCGGUAAUUGCCUAUAGUGAGGGAAGGCAUCGGAUUUUGGAGACAAUGUGACGUUGCUGCUGCAAACUGCUUAGACAAAUUUGCUAGAAUCUUGACACUGUCCAACAAUUCGAGCCUUGGAUACAUCAUGGAGAAGCGGUUUUAAAAUCAACUAAAAACGAAUUACGGUGGCAAGGAAGGGACAACAACAAUUUCGCUUCAGCAGUAGGCGAAGGAGGAAGCAAACGGUAGAAAAAGCAAAGGAGGAAGCAAACUGACGGGGUCAGAGAUCUGGAGCUCCGGCGGCUCCUCUUCCUCCUCCAAUUUCCGGCGGGAGGACUUGCGGAGGCGGUCGUGGUUCUUGACGAAGAGGUCAAUGAGGGAGGUGGGGAAGCCGGUCUCGACGACGAGGGAAUUGAUGUUGAACCUGUCGCUGGCCUGCACGAGAAAAAAACGCGAAAGAUUACAAAUUGAGGAGGGGUAGGGUUUUUUGGGGCUCGGCUCCGAGGAGGAGCAAGAAGACACCGCCGUCGCCGGCGCUAGCGGCAGAGGCGGUGGCGGAGAGAGAUCGCGGCUUACCUGCAUGUUCGGAUGUUGAGGAUGCUGGAUAAUCUAAUC